rnacentral:rRNA from 1 species
CCUACGGGUGGCAGCAGUGAGGAAUAUUGGUCAAUGGACGAGAGUCUGAACCAGCCAAGUAGCGUGAAGGAUGACUGCACUAUGGGUUGUAAACUUCUUUUAUAUGGGAAUAAAAUGUUCCACGUGUGGGAUUUUGUAUGUACCAUAUGAAUAAGGAUCGGCUAACUCCGUGCCAGCAGCCGCGGUAAUACGGAGGAUCCGAGCGUUAUACGGAUUUAUUGGGUUUAAAGGGAGCGUAGGUGGAUUGUUAAGUCAGUUGUGAAAGUUUGCGGCUCAACCGUAAAAUUGCAGUUGAAACUGGCAGUCUUGAGUACAGUAGAGGUGGGCGGAAUUCGUGGUGUAGCGGUGAAAUGCUUAGAUAUCACGAAGAACUCCGAUUGCGAAGGCAGUUCACUGGACUGCAACUGACACUGAGGCUCGAAAGUGUGGGUAUCAAACAGGAUUAGAUACCCUUGUAGUC